AGUGCCCUGAUCAUGGACCCUCCAGCCUUCAGAAUUGCAACAGACACCUGAGCCAUGUACUCCUCCUGAUGGAUCGCAGGAGCAUAAGAUGGUAAGCCGAAACACAGAAUACAUCACAAAGCCCAUCCUUGAAACUAGGACAAUGUCCAUCAGCUACAAGCCCUAUGAUUAAGUCCAUCAAAGGUGAAGUAGAUGGAACUCCAUAUAGACAAAAAUAAAGGUGACAGGUAAGAAUAGGAAACGGUUGAAGUGGAUGAGAUAAAAUUCUAACCUUAUGAAUAAUUUCAGGAA
rnacentral:lncRNA from 1 species